GUAACGGUGUCACUGACACCCUGUAUAUUAUCCCUCCAUUCCAGCUCAGCCACCAUGGAGGGAGAUGCGCGGACGAUGCUCCUGUGGGUGUUGCUGGCCACUGCGGUGGCGUGCGCCGCCGCCUGGGGCUGCAAGCAGUGCCUCUACAGGGAUGGUAUAUAUAACACAAGCUCAUCACUACAUCCCACUUGGGGUAGUCAGAAGUACAUACAUCGCAAGAUGAACCAGAUAUAAAGCGGAGGCGAGGAAGAGUGAUAUCAAGGCCAGGUGACACCGCGUCCCCGGGCCAGGGACCACAACCUGAACACUCCACCAUCAAUGCUAGCAACCAGGGGUUACCAACCAGCAACCCGAAUGUAUACUCUGCACAUCCAAGCGUACCAACCUACACGCCGCAUUCCCACCCGACGCACCCAACACAUCAGACGGUGAUACCCUACACGACCUCAUAUCCCGCGAACCCGGUAGCAAUCAACAAUCUGUCCGCAUGUCCUAACAACCUGUAUCCUAACCCAGUACCGAUAGUAAACCCAACGGGAUAUCACAUUACCCCGGGAGCACCUUAUAACCCACCCUUUAAUCCCGGGAAUCCGGGAGAGACUCCUUACAAUCCGACCGCCCCGGCCGGACCAUACCCGCACGUCGUGCCGCCGCCGCUGUCGUGCGAGUGUGCCCCCAACACGGGUCGGCACCCCGCCGCCACAUACUGACUCCACAUCCAUCAUCUACCAAGCGAUAUCCCGGUCUUCACGGAUUCCGUUUAUCUAGCCUGACUAUUUGACAGAUCCGGUUUGUGUGUCGACUACCAACGUGUCCAUCCAUAAAAUCUAUAAUUAUAAUUGGGCGGAAGGCAAGAGGGAAACCACUGCCCUAUUUUUCCCUAAAAAAGUAGCAUGGAAAAUGCUGCACCGAUAAGAGCGUGGCUCUUAAAUUAAUGAUGAUGAUGAAUUAUAAUAUAAUAUUUAUUUUAUAAGUAUUUCUCUUCCUU